UUGCACAUUGUUCAGUUUUUAUUUUACAAAAAAGGAGGACAGGGCUACAAAUCCUGAUAAUUUAUACAAAUACAACACAUUUCAAAAAUAAAUUUUAAUUUAGUAAAUUCUCUGUGAACAAGUUUCUGCAAUAGCCCACUGCUUGAGAUCCCUGAGCAGAGACACAGAGUGAAACACUUUUUCUUUUCACACCUUCUUACAGACAUUAAAAAUCUUGUUUCCUCAUCAACACUUUAAAUAUUUACACCAGGAAUGAGUGUAUGGAUGUGUGAGGGAGGCAGGAAAUCAACGCGAACUCUUAACGUUUCCUUACCACCAUCACAGUAAAGAAACAGCACCGUGCAGACGACAAUGUGACUGCUUCAUAUAACAAAGUCUCAGCCUCCUGAAGCAGGUGUUGUGUAAAUAGCUACAUUAGCCGUGUUUGUGAAUUUUCUUCAGUAAUGACCAGAAACGUGCAGAAGCUCCAUCAAAUGAUCUUCCUUCAUUUUACAUGUGAAAAAAACAACACAGUUCCAGCUGGUUCUGCUAACAGCUGGGAUCAGAAUCGUCCCAGUUGGACCCUUCAUUAGAAUCAACGCUACAUACAGUGCUAGAAAAAAGUUUCUCCAACAGGUUUUUUACUGUCUGCUGUUUCAGAAUAUCAAAGAAAUUUUAAAAUCAGCACAGAUAAUCUGAAUACAUGCAGAAAAUAGAGUGUAUAAAUGAUUAUUUCAAUUAAUGAAGGCAUUUAAAGGUUAUGUGGAAAUGAGUCUGGGGGAAAGUUUUGAAUCACUCUGAAAACUUAGGUUAUUUCAGCCAUAUUGGAGGGUUUUUGAGUAUGAACCAAAUGCUUAUCAUAGCACAGUAUACUAAACGGGAGAUAUGAAAAAGCUACUUUUUUAGCCCUUAAAUACAUUUUGUUGUGUAGGAAAGUUGGAUUUAGUCUCUCCUGGUGCUGCAUAGAUAUCGUUAUAUUCUGUUUAUAAAGUAUUUGCUGCAGAACUGCUAAACAAGGUCAUGGGUUUCCUUUGUUUUUGCAGAUUUUGUCUUGGGGAACCCAUGAUCCAAACGCAGUCAGUGACAUUCUUGGUGCUAACAUAACUCUAACUGUGCCUUGUUUACAACACGUGUUCAUUCAUAAUGUGGUAACAUUUCCUGGCUCCAACAUGAAAGGCUGGAUGGAUAAGUCAUGUGUUGUCAACAUCUUUUAAUAAAUUUGGCAGUGAAAAGUUUUUGCGUAACAAGCUAAUCAAAUCUCUAUCUGCAAAUUACAAAAUGGCAGACCAGAGUGAAAUCAUCAUUUUAGUUGUACUUUAUGUUUGUCCAGUUAUCUUUGCCUGAAAGAAAGGUUGUCUGUUUAAUUCUGAAAUACUUAAGUGACAAUAAAUCUAAAAAAACUACAGAGAUCUUUGAAGGCAAUACUUUUUCAGAGCACUGUAUAAGCCUUAAUAGUAGCUUUAAAGUGCAGUAAAAUAAAAACAACUCAAGCAUGUUUGUUCUCACUUUGAUAAAGAUUUCAUAAUUCACUUUGUAAAAUAUUUCAAUCUUGUUCCAGUUGGUUUUGUGCUUUAUAAACUCAGAAUUUUUUUUUUUUUAAUAUUUAAGUGAUUCAGCUACUUUGUGGGGACAAAUGAGAACAACAUUCAGCUUCCAGUCAGUCUGUCUGUCUCCAAUAGACAGACUGACUGGAAGCUGCUGUCCGCAGUAAACUCUAAUCACCUUCAUAAGAGUGACUUUGGGGGAAACCCAGACCCGCUAGAUCGAAAAGAAAUGUGCUAUAUAAUACUCUUGUAAUAAACAUGAGAAUAGAUCGGGAUAUUUAAAAGCUGACAGCACAAAACCGAUGGUCCAGCUGAUGAAGAGACUCAACAGGAAGUAUCUGAGUCCGAUCUGGUACCUGGGUUUAGCUCUGGACAGUGGUGGGCACCGCUAACUAAAAAUGUCAGCUGCACUGAUCAUAAAUAUUAGUUCAGGUAACUUGCUGCACCAACAUAGCAUUGAGCAGAAGCUAAUGCUUAAGUGCUAAAUUCAACCAUGUUGGUACCCAACGUGCAUCAAUGACACAAUACGUUACAGCUUAUUACAUCGCCCUCAACAGGGUGGAGUUGUCAUUACACGCCUAACAGUACGGUUUGCUCUUCACAAAGGAAUUUUUAUUUUUCACUCAUGGUUUCAGUUUUAUAGUUGAGUUUUGCUAAAUCUGUUGCUAAUUUUGCCUAAAGGUAGGGCUUCAGUCAGAAAACACUGGACAUUUUAAACUAUUUACUGUAGAACUACAGCAGUGCAUUCUGGGUAAAGAAUGAACUUGCUGCACUGCACCAUGAGUGAAGAACACAGGAUAUAAAAACACUGGAUAUAUGCACCUUAUUCAAGGUAUUUAUGUCAAUAAUCCUCAGUGGACUCUGUUCACCUGUGUAGAUGUACAUUAAUAACUGCUCUGAAUUCAUUGUAUUUUAUUUCUGAUAAUGUUUUGAGAAAAACGAUUGUGAGGACAGGAAGUGGAACAGUCUUCACACACUUCAAAAUAAGAGCAUGAAGAAAAAUGUCUGACAACUUGAGGAAUUCUUGACAGUUGAUAAAAACUUCAACUCAGAUGAUGAACUUUAUUUAACUUAAAGUUUCCAAAACAGGCAACUAAAUUAGAAUGUCUCUGAAAAUAUUAAUUUAAGAGAAGCUGAGGGUGUUAAGUGUUUUCAAAGUUAGCAAAAAUGCUAACACGCUAAAUGAAAAAUUAGCUCUGCUAAUAGCAUGCAUGUACCCACCACUGGUUCUGGAUAUCACUAAUCACAGGUAACAGAGCAAUAACUCUAUGAAUAGGACUGGGGCCAACAAAUAACAAAUACUGUACAAACUUUAAUGAAGGUGCUCUUUCUUUUACUAAAAACUGACAAAAAAAACCAAAUAUAUGAAAACUAGACAAAAUAUAUACAGAUGAGACCUAAGAACAGCUUUAAGGAUACCGAAAACCCUUCACCGUAUUGUAACAAGCCAAACUCACUCAGUUAUGGAGCUACAGUUUGCUGUGUUGUUCUGUGUACUAAAACAUGGCAGCUAUAUAUUAAUAUUUAUUCAAACACAAUGACAUAACUUUACCUAAGCAUAAAGGCAUUUAAACAUUUCCCUUUCAAAGAGCUGUGACUCUGUGUUGAUCUAUGUAAGGAUAAAAGUUGGACACUAGCUUAGCGUUAGCUUAGCAUUUCCUUUUGGCUGGUUGAACUCUUUUGUUGCAGGUCCUGUUGAGCUUCUUGGAACCUGGGAAGGUUUUCCAUCUGCAACCUGAAGCUUUCAGCUUUUAAUGGUGAUGGUAGUUUAAUAUUUAGAAGUGAAGAAUAAAAAUACCACUGGAAUGAAGACCAUUUCGAAGCUUGCUAAAACAGAUUAGUGAGGUUAACUGCAGCCCUUUGGAGGCCUUACAGACUCUUAUUGUGCUGAAACAGAUACUCUGCAUUCCCUUUUUAUGUUUUUCUCUGAAUAUCAGGACAGUUGCUACUUUAGGAAUCAAUAUGUGGUGCAAUUUCAGAUUAAUGUGAGAAUGAGAAGGUUUAAAAGCAGAGACUAUAAAUUAAAUUUUAAGAAGUUAAAUUGUGUCCAGUUCUUCAUAUGUACCUUCUUUCCUUCAUUUUCAAGAAAAAAACAUGAAGUGAAACUAAAAUUUGACAGAAAGUCCUUCAGUGCUCCCCUCUGUGUUUUUCAUACCUCAUUCUGCGGCAGCGAUGAACCUGUGGCUUCACUUUAACUUGAAGUAUUCUUGAA